AGGCUCCAGUGUGGGUAAGCUGCAGGUGCCCAUGAUCCUGUCAGUGCUGUGCCUUGACUCCAGAGGAGCUGCAAGAGUGGCAUUGCACAGAUAGAGAGCACCAGAGCUGCUCUAGGCUCACAUAAAGAACUUAAUAAUUAACUAGGAACUACACCACUCUUGUGAAGGCAAGAAAAAAGUGUGCCAGAAAUUGAAGGAGAUCUCACCCAAAGAGCAGUUGAUGUUUUGGAAUUGUGUGACCACCAGUCAUUCAUCAAACCUUGUGUCAGGACCAGCCAUGGUAGAUCAACCAUGAAAAUUACAUUUUAUCUCCAGAAUUUCUUCAUCUAAAAAGAGGGAGAAUGAUUUUACAUCUUCUUGCUAUGUAUUCAACUUAAAUGAAAGAAGGUUAACAAGAUUAAAUUCACCUUCACAGACAAUCUGUGACAAGUAUUUUAAGAUAGUUACAAGUCACACAGUUAAAUUAAUGUCACCUGUUAUUAUUGCAAUUGUUAUUUGAUAAAGACAGUAUUGAAGUUGCCAGCUUUAUACUUCAACCAAAGGAAAACAGCAUUGUUUAAUGCUUUAUAUCCAUCACUGUAGUGUUUAAGAAAGUAUCACGAUGUGGUUUUUCAAGUCAUGUUGCUCUAAAUUGCAAAAUCUACUCUGAGCUCAAAAUGAUGAAAUUAAAUAAAAAAAGAGUAAGCCAA